CCUGGGGAGUACGAUCGCAAGGUUAAACUCUAAGGAAUUGACGGGGGCCCGCACAAGCGUCGGAGCAUGUGGUUUAAUUCGAUGCUACACGAAGAACCUUACCUACUGUUGAUCUCCAUAACUGAUUAGAGAUAUUCAGGUGCCUUAGGGAAUUGGAUGACAGGUGUUGCAUGGCUGUCGUCAGCUCGUGUUGUGAGAUGUUGGGUUAAGUCCCGUAACGAGCGCAACCCUCAUCCUUAGUUACUAACAAGUAAAGUUGAGGACUUUAAGGAAACCGCCGGCGAUAAUCCGGAGGAAGGUGGGGAUGACGUCAAGUCAUUAUGGCCUUUAUAAGUAGGGCUACACACGUGCUACAAUGGUUGAUACAAAGGGUGGCGAAACCGUGAGGUGGAGCAAAUCUUAAAAAGUCAAUUGUAGUCCGGAUUGGAGUCUGCAACUCGACUCCAUGAAGUUGGAAUCGCUAGUAAUCGUGGAUCAGAAUGCCACGGUGAUACGUUCUCGGGCCUUGUACACACCGCCCGUCACACCAUGGAAGUGGACUGUACCAUAAGUAACUUUUCUAACU
rnacentral:rRNA from 1 species